AUUGAACGCUGGCGGCAGGCCUAACACAUGCAAGUCGAACGAGUGGCGGACGGGUGAGUAAUGUCUGGGAAACUGCCUGAUGGAGGGGGAUAACUACUGGAAACGGUAGCUAAUACCGCAUACCAUCGGAUGUGCCCAGAUGGGAUUAGCUAGUAGGUGGGGUAACGGCUCACCUAGGCGACGAUCCCUAGCUGGUCUGAGAGGAUGACCAGCCAAACUGGGACGGAGACACGGCCCAGACUCCUAAGGGAGGCAGCAGGGGGGAAUAUUGGACAAUGGGCGCAAGCCCGAUGCAGCCAUGCCGCGUGUAUGAAGAAGGCCUUAGGGGUUGAAAGUACUUUCAGCGGGGAGGCGUUACCUGCAGAAGAAGCACCGGCUAACUCCGUGCCAGCAGCCGCGGUAAUAC
rnacentral:rRNA from 1 species